AGCGGGGGAGAGGGAAAAGGAGGAGGCUGCUGCCUUCUUUAUAGUUUUGAUAUUUUUUUUUUUUCCUUUUCCAGCCUCGUAGGAUCAGAUUAACCCCCCCCUCCUCGCACACACACACACACACACACACACACACACACACACACUCUCCAGCCCAGCCAUCCCAACCCUCCGCCAGCACUGCACCGGGGGGAUGCCGGAGGGUCGGCGCAGGGUGGGAUGCGGCUCUGGCACGCUUUCUGCGUGCCGGAGCCAGCUGCAGCCCAGGCAGCGACCGGCAGGGAAAAAUCCAGGCGGGCUCCCAGCACCAUCAUCUGCGGGGAUUAUUGAGGAUGGUAAAUCAAGCUGGGACCUCAUGGCUCUCCAGGGACUCGGUGUUAUUCCCUGUAAUCACCAAUCUGCCCUGCCCUUCACACACAGGAGCCUGGCACUGCUUGGCAUCACAAGCCGUGACUGCCACCCCAGUGAAGCCAAGGUGGGAUGGACCCAAAGGACAUCACACCCCAGCUUCUCCUCUGGGAUUGACAGAAGACUAAAGGAUUUGUUAUUUUUACACUGCAAUCCAAUAAAUUCAACAAUCUGGUCUGUCCACGUUAUUUCCCAGCUGUGGUAUGUUUGAAAUCCCCACCUCCAGGAGCCCUGUGAUUUCAGGAGGAUCUCAGCCCUGCUCUCAUCCAACCCUGACCUCACCAUGGCGGGGUGAAAGGCUGAAACCACAAGCCCCAGGGA